rnacentral:lncRNA from 1 species
GUAAAUGCUGCAUUAGUUUUUUUUGGUGCUCUGUUGAACUGGCUCUUCCUGGGCUGUACCUGGGGUAAGAGGCUCAGAGACUGUCCUGACAUCACUGUGACCACAGUUUCAUCUGGCUGAUGCAGUGUGUGCUUAUCAUCAUCUGAAAUCUCUGCUGCCGGAAAGAGGGAAUCGUUCAGAAGACUUUACUCUAGGAGGAUACUUCACUCCUGUAAAUCUGCCAGCAAGUCAUAACAAUGUCCCUCUGAGUCAAUUCAUGGCUUGCCCCAGUGCUGCCUUCCUCUUGAGCGUCCUGCCUAACCUCACAUCUGGCCUCCACUACACAACUGCCCAUCUCUGGAGUCACUCAGCAAAGCACGCACCAAGGAAAGCUGUGGGUUUCUGUCAACCGGUGCAUCUACCACUGUGUCCUGGAGAGCUCCUAACCACCUCGGACCUGGAGAGGAGAGGGAAGCCCCUGUGCAUGCAGUACCACCCCAUCCUCUGGUCUGUGACUAAAUAUAGUUACUACUGA